UAGGAGGCAGGAGGAGGAGCUGUGGUCUGUUGUCUCCUUGGCCUGCUGGUGCUUUCUGGAAAACUUGUGGGGGAGAAAGUCUGCCCAGCAUGUUUUAUAUCUUCCUAGGUGUCCUACCAGAGGCAGCUCCAAGGCAGCAGGAAGAACAGUAAGAAGAGGGAAGCCCCUCGAGGCGCUGUCUGCAGUGCAAAGGCACAGAGGGAUCAGAGCACCCGAGUGCCCCCUUUGGCUGGGGCAGAGUUGGCCCAGGCUCCCCAAAUUCACUCCAAGAUGGUAUAUGAUGGCUUGAAGAACCUCAGUAUCUAAGUCUGGGGUAGAAGAAGGAAGAUGGAAGAGAGAAG
rnacentral:lncRNA from 1 species